GACGAACGCUGGCGGCGUGCUUAACACAUGCAAGUCGAACGGAAAGGCCCUGCUUUUGUGGGGUGCUCGAGUGGCGAACGGGUGAGUAACACGUGAGUAACCUGCCCUUGACUUUGGGAUAACUUCAGGAAACUGGGGCUAAUACCGGAUAGGAGCUCCUGCUGCAUGGUGGGGGUUGGAAAGUUUCGGCGGUUGGGGAUGGACUCGCGGCUUAUCAGCUUGUUGGUGGGGUAGUGGCUUACCAAGGCUUUGACGGAUAGCCGGCCUGAGAGGGUGACCGGCCACAAUGGGACUGAGAUAGGGCGCAGACUCGUACGGGAGGCAGCAGUGGGAAGUAUUGCACAGUGGGCGGAAGCCUGAUGCAGCAGCGCCGCGUGCGGGAUGACGGCCUUCGGGUUGUGAACCGCUUUCGCCUGUGACGAAGCGUGAGUGACGGUAAUGGAUAAAGAAGCACCGGCUAACUACGUG
rnacentral:rRNA from 1 species